rnacentral:lncRNA from 1 species
UCAGUUGGGACCCCAACAGCUCAAGUACAUGACAGUCCUCAAAGCCUCUUCUGAUUGUUUAGACUGCCUCAGUCCUUUGGAAAUUGCGGCUGAGGAUUGAGAUGAGAGGUUCUUGGCCUGUGAAGCUGAUCUCAUAUGGUUCUUGGCAUGCUGGACAGCUGACCUUACAGUGUAGUUCCAUCUGCAGAUACCUUGGUCUUUCAGAGCCUCCACAGCUCCAAUACUAGCUGCAACAAUCCAUGCUCUGCUUGUUGAACUCAUCUUUGCAAAUACUUCUCUUAGAUUAUUGAAUGUUGAAAUUGAAGAAAGCUUAUAUAAAGACGGAUAGACUGUGAUUUUGUUGAUUGAUGCUUAAGCGAAGGGGGCUGCUUAUAUUUAUAGGAUAGGGAUAGGGAUAGGGAUAGGGAUCAAAAAGCCAUAAACUGGGGGAAAGGAACGACAGGCUAUCUGCUCUAGCUCAUGGUUUUUGGAGACGAUGGUUUUGUUUGUUUUGGGCAGGUGGGUUGGACCUACUUGGAGUUAUCCUUAUGACCCCAAAUAGCUGAGGGCAAUGAAUGGGAUUUAGGAUAAUAAUUCAAUCUUGGGAUGAUUAAAGAUGGUCCACGGGCACACCAUUUAUUCUAAAUAAUUAAAUAGCCAGUGAGGAGUAUGGGAGUACAAAAGUCCAAACCAUCUGUUUUCUACCUCGGUAUUUGGAGGAAAACAGGAGGCAAAUUUUGGCACAUGACCAAACUCAGUGCCACCUACUGAGUUCGUCAUUGAAUAUUUACAAUCUCUUAGGUUAUGUGCUACCCAAUUCUCUAAUCCACGUUGCAGCGGGAUUGGCUGACACACUAGUAAUUCAUGCAAAUAACUUAAGAGUAUCGAAUUUUGAACCAUAAAUUUUCCUGGAAAAAAAGAAAAAACUGAAGAGCUGGUAUUAACUAAAUAAUUAUUUCGGAAAAAGCAUUAACAAAAGAAUUGAAGAAACCCAGCCACUUACUUCAUGGUUGAGACUCAAAACAUAUCCUGUCUACGGUUUAAUUCGAAUUUUAAAGAUCCUGCAGGGAAGAUUUUUUUUUUCUUCAAAGAAAAAGAAAUUGUCAUUAAUUUGAUGUAUUUUUUCCCAUACUUUUUUAAUCUAUUUUAAUUAUUAUAAUUUUCUACAAUUUUUUAAUAUAUUUUUUAAUGCAUUCAUGUAUAAAUAAAUUUUAUUUAUAUUAUUAGAGAUAAAUAUCAUCAUGUCUUUAUUUAUUUAGUUUUCCAUUACAAUUUCAUUUAGAAAAUAUGUAUUUAAGUUAUAUUUUAUUCAAAAAGAAGGAAAAAAAAAUUAUCCUUUUGUCAGAGAAAAUAGGAAGGCUUUCAUAGCCAUUCAAUAUAGAUUCCAAAUGAUAUAUCUACAAUUUUCAUAUUCCCUCGCCAUUCUGAACGACUACAAUCUAACAUACUACAACUUCAUACAUUUACAUAUAUGUUUGGAACAAUUGCAGGAGGAAAUAUGUUGGCCUGAGAAUAUGAUCUGAGAUUGUUGUUGACAUGUUGGACCUUAUUACAGGAUUCUGCCUGCAAAAGCCUCAAUGUGUUUGAUUGCUCAGUCGUCGUCAAACCUUCUUCUGAAUGACCAAAGCUUGCACUCACGAGUCAAUGAUUCACCCAAAUAAAGGAUGUUUCUUCUAAAUUGUAAGCGAUAUUUACAGAUUCAAGGCUCAGUUGGGACCCCAACAACUCAAGUACAUGACUGUCCUCAAAGACUCUUCUGAUUGUUUAGACUUGUUCAGUCCCUUUGAAAUUGCAGCUGAGGAUUGAGAAGAGAGGUUCUUGGCCUGUGAAGCUGACCUCACAUGGUUCUUGGCAUGCUGCACAACUGACCUUACUGUGUAGUUCCAUCUGCAGAUACCUUGGUCUUUCAGUG